AAUAGGAGAAUGACAAAUCAGAAUUUUCAUUUUAAUUUUUAGCUUUUUCUCCUGAAAAAAAUUCAAAUCCAACUAAAAAUGCUAAAGUUCAGGAGGAAAAAUCUAAUUUGUCAUUCUCCUAUU
rfam:Gossypium arboreum cultivar AKA8401 contig_11971_3, whole genome shotgun sequence.